rnacentral:lncRNA from 1 species
CUCAUUUUGUGUUUGUGCUUCCUGUGGAGAUGGGUUGUUCAGUGAGCCAGAUGUGGUAGCUACUAUUUCGUUAUCGACAAAAGGCAAGUCUGAACAUGGAUCUCUGGGGAACCACUCUGGUGAUGAGUCACCGCAAGCCUAUGUGGGUGCGGCUUCCCUGACAGCCAUUCUCAGCAGAGGUCAGUCCAGGGGCAGGAAAUCAGGACUCACGACCUGCAGUCAUCUUGACUGGAUCCCCCAGGAAUGGAGACUCCUGGAGACCCAGGGAAGCACCAUUGAUGUCUGUGGUCCAAGUUGCAACUGGAGGCCAUGUUGAUGUCCACUAUCCAUGCUGCCACCAAAAACUAUGUGGAUGUCCAUGAUCCGGGCUGCCAGUGGCUGCUAUGAGUAGGGAAGCUUCUUUUGCAGUGAUGAGGAUGACUGUAGACACAUACCUGAGAAUGAGAGACAUCUAAGGCUUCUGUGCCAAUACCCACCUCCCAGAAGAAAAGUCCAGACAGGGAACUAUUGAAGAGUUACCUUAAAAAUCACAAUGAAGAUGCUGAAGUGUAGCUCUUCAGGGUUGAUUGCUUCUGUCCAGUGGGGAGGACUAUUUCUACCACUGUCAGUAUUCCUUAGUUGCGUGUGGUUCCUUGUGUAGAGUUGAAGCCUGGUGUGCUUCAGCUUUGGCCUGCUCACUGUUGUCCUUGUUCAGCUCGUGUUUAAGCAAUCAUGUUAAUGAGAUUCUAUGAAUAUAGCUUCUGUCCUUAUUAGGAGACACAGUCUCACAGCAAAUUCCAUGAUCCUCUGGCUCUUAGAGUUUUUCUGCCCCCUCCUCAAUGUUCCCUGAGCCUUAGGAGUGAGAGUUGCUGUGUGGAUGUAUCUCUUGG